UACGGAGGGUGCAAACGUUGCUCGGAAUCAUUGGGCGUAAAGCGCACGUAGGCGGCCUGUUAAGUCGGGUGUGAAAGCCCUGGGCUCAACCCAGGAAGUGCACUCGAAACUGGCGGGCUUGAAUAUGGAAGAGGAUCGCGGAAUUCCCGGUGUAGAGGUGAAAUUCGUAGAUAUCGGGAGGAACACCGGUGGCGAAGGCGGCGAUCUGGUUCGAUACUGACACUGAGGUGCGAAAGCGUGGGGAGCAAACAGG
rnacentral:rRNA from 1 species